UAACAUCGGAUUCUCAUAUUUUCGAUUUCUAAUAAAACUAUAUACAUCAGACCUUAUACUGACCGAAAUAAAAAAAAAAAAUUAAUUGCUGGAACCUAAAAAAAAAAAAAAAAGCGAAUCGCUCUAUCAUUUAAAAUGUUUGGAAAUCGUAAUCCCUUCACUUCAGGGAAAAAAAAGAAUCCCUACUUUUUGACCUUCUCACCAUAACCUCCCGUCCUACCACAACACCUCUCGCCAUAACCUCCUUGAACACCUCGAUCUCCCUCUCUCUCUCUCUCUCUUACUCUCAACCAAAGGCCGGCCAAAGAAUUUUGCAAUAUAUCUUGUUGUCGUCGAUAUGCUUAUGUAGAUAUACGAGUUCUCGGCUAAGCGCUUCUUUGAUUCGAUGAAGGACGAGAACCUCCUGUUUUGUUGUUAAUUUCUUCAAAUCAUAUGCUUUUUUACUAUCUUAGAACCUAUACUUCUUUUUAUUACAGUGAUAUUUCUCAGAUUUGUCUUUCUUAAUCACAUUUUUCAGAUUAGGUAUUCUCCUUUGAAUUCAGUAUUUGGAAUAUUAAGGUUGAAUUAAUUAUGGUUUCUACGAUCAAUUGUAGGAAAAUGGUUAGUGUUUGGAUGCUAGCUCUCUCUGUAUAUAUAUGUGAUAUAUAUUUGAUGGAAUGUUAGGUUCACUGUGGUGGGCUAGCUUUUCAACAUUGAUGAAGAUUCAGAUACCAAAGCGGUAUAUAUCCAUUUUUGCCACCAAGCAUGACCUUUGCUGCUUGGAUUUACACCUGAAUAUAUCGUCUGCAAAGGUGGAAAUCACAUUCAGAAAGCAAGGCAGCUAUUGAUCAAAUAUCUCUACCCUAAAGUAAAGAUAAAGGCUACAAAGAAUACCAUACACAUUGUAAAUUAUCUUAUGGAAACAAAAGUUCGUGGGAGUGUUCGCAUAAGAUAGAAGAAUAUGUUGAAGUUGCAAUCUUCUGUAAAUAAUUUCAGACCAGAUUUGUUAAGGGUUGAUGUCACUGGCAAUUGGUUGGAUUUCAGAUGGUGAAGUUUAAUUUGCUGAAAAGAUAUGCAAGUUUGUGAGGGAUCUGCAAUAUGAUUUGGACACCCAAGUUUUCAAUUUUGGUUUGGUCAAUAUGUUUAUAUUUGAUGCUGUCCAUAGUAUAUGUUCUUGUAUCUUCCAAAAAAAAAUAGUAUAUACUCUUGUAACUUCAGUACUUUGUUAUGUUAUAAUUUUUUUUUCCUCCUAGGAGGUAAGGCUUUGUCACCCCUCCCUCCAAUGUACUGUAAUUUUGGUACUAAUCAAAUGAUAUUGGUUU